UCUACCUCCUACAUGCAAAUCCUGAUGUAAAGGUCUCAUCUAACACUCCAAUGUCAUGUCUAUCUGCUUCCCUCAAUGACUAUGGGCUAACUCUGAAACUCCCACCAACCAAAAUAUCAUCAGCAAAAUAUCUUCCAACGUGUCUGCUUCGCAAAAUGUCUUAAGAGUUUCCAGAAAAACAUCACAACUGGGUCUUUAAGGAGACCAGAAAUUUCCACUUCAAGUUGGUACCACUUCUUAUCAGCAUCAGAACUUGGGAGAGCAGCGACACUUGUUGACUCAGCCUAAACCUUCCAGACUUUGGAGUCCAUUGUCAAUGCUUUAUCAGAUUUGGAGAGUGGAUGCUGCAGGAGCAUGCUAACUGCCAGAGUGAUUGGUGGGACGUGCUGUUGCUGGUACAAAGAAUGAUGCUAACCCGUGAACUUGCUGAGUGUCCUGACAAUGUGACAGGAAAGCUGUAUUGGACAUUGGUUGCCUUCACACGGGAUCACUUUCAACAAGCUCAGCUAUUCACCAUGACAGUUAUCUAGCAACUUGAAGAAAUGCAUUGAGUGCAUAUUCAUAUGUCCUUCAUGGCUUUGGUCUGAAUGGAAAAGAGUGUGCUAUAGAAGGCUGGUAGUCAGAGAUGGCCCCCCUUUCAGGUAGACCCAGUUCAUCCAUGGCUUUGGACGGCAACACUCUGAGUGAAGAGAUUUGAUGGAGACAAUCCAUUUAAAGUUGAGUGUUUCAUGCUCCCCUUCCUCUACCUCUUUCUCCCUUCUCUCU